ACGGGUGAGUAACACGUAUGCAAUCCACCUGUAACAGGGGGAGUAACCCGGAGAAAUCCGGACUAAUACCCCAUAAUAUGGGCGCUCCGCAUGGAGAGCCCAUUAAAGAGAGCAAUUUUGGUUACAGACGAGCAUGCGCUCCAUUAGCCAGUUGGCGGGGUAACGGCCCACCAAAGCGACGAUGGAUAGGGGUUCUGAGAGGAAGGUCCCCCACAUUGGAACUGAGACACGGCCCAG
rnacentral:rRNA from 1 species